UAUAAUGUGAUAAUUUAUUGCUAUAACAUAAAAAUGUUCAUGUUGUGAUCUGAGGUUUGUUUUUCAUAGUAUCUGUAAAAGAUCUGAUAUGAAACAUUUAUUGUCAUAACAAAACUUUUCACAUUUUAUCAUGAUGCUGUUAUAAUACUUCUUGUAACAUGAUGAGUCUGUAUUUCAUAAUAACUGUGGAAGUAAUGGCACUGAUCCAUUUUUUUCUUUUUCUGGAGUGGCAAUAGGCUUCUUGUUUGUUUUUUGUAUUAAAUGAGGGUGUGACUUACAUAUCCUGUUAAUAGGUAUUUUCUCCUUGUGUGAUUGACUGUUAAACAUUUGAAACCAUGUCAGCUGAUCCCCACGAUGACAAACCACAGACCCACUGUCACCAUGUCAAUGUGGAUCUGCUGUGUAGACAUGUUCAUUUCACUCCCCCAUUAAUCCCAGCACAUGAAGGUUCUCUGUGGGAAAAGAGGAAAACUAUUUUGGCAUGUUCCACUGCUCCACAUACGCUGACCCUUUGCUGAACCAUCCACCAUUUGAUCUUCACUGCAGGCAGCGCAGCACAGCCGUGCGCGGUGCACCGCAGCUUAUAGCUGAGACACACAGAAGUCCAGCAACUCACAGACUGCAGGUGAUGCUUUCAUGUCAAGCGAGAAGAAUCAAUUGGGAGGCAGAAGCCUGUCUCUUCGAGUUUCUCCAGUGUUUUGCCCGUCGGCUACUCGUAGGCAGGCUUUCGUCUGGGAAACUCUGGGCUUCGCUUAAUGAGACUGACCGGCGUGUCAAGCUGUUCUGCUCGCUCUUUGGAGAAUAUGGGGGUGUACGUGUGGCGGCAGCACCAACACAGAUAAGACUGGCUAACUGUGUGGGAGAGCUGACCAGUUAUCCAGCCUCCACAAAGGGCCCCUGUUUAAUCUGCUCCACACAUUAAAGCCACAGCACCUCAAAGCAGGCAUGUGCUAACAGCUGUGGACAUGUCUCCAUCUCUCUCCUCUGAAGUGACGCAGCACAGCGGUGUCCGGGGCCGUGUAGCGGAGAGGCUAGAGGAUGAAGACUUGGAGGCUGCCCGCCAUGAAUGAGUCAAUCUCACACUGGGGUUAUGACAAUCCAGAGGGCCCUCAAAACCCAACACAGCCCUGCGAGCGCGCACAAAGGGCUUUUCUCCACCAUUAAAGGCGUCACACUGGCCCGUCAACGCUUUGAAAUGCUGAUAUUGUUUUCCACAGGAUUUUCAUCAUGCUUUCAACAUGAAAUCCCCAGAGGCGAUAAUAAAAAGAGAUCAAAUAAAUGUGACAAAUGGCUUAAUAUUUAAUCGCUGUUGAUCAUUAAACAAUUUAAAUAAAGGCUGAUAACAAUCGGAGCUCUUGCUUUCAAAACACUGUGGCACCAACCACAGAUACAUCAGGAUUUAUUUAUCUGUGACUUAAUUAACUGUGGAUGGCUGAGAGGCAGCGCGCUGCUGCGCGGAGGUCCGGUUCAGUAGGCCUGCAAAAGCACAGUGUGUGGAAAAGUGCCAUUAAUGGCAUCUAUCAUCAGCUGCUAAUUAUGCUGCCUGUGGGCCCCGACUGGAUCCAGUUUCAGCUUUUGGGCUCCAGCCACCAAACACUUAGCAUUCAUAUUUAAUCACACCUCAUUAUCCACCAACAAUGUAGGAAGGAGACAGAGACCUUACCUGAUAUGCCAGACAGACACGGUCAACGUACAGACAGAAAAGAAAAAAAUCUCAUAUGCACACACACACACACACUGUCACCUGCAAAGACAAACACCAGCAACACAUAAGCCCUCCCCUGCUUGAGUUUUCUGCUCUUGAAGUGCAUCAGGCUCUUUGAUGAGAGGUACUGCCCCCCAAUUCUGUGCUUUCUCAGCAAGUUGGUGCUUUCAUGUGAGAUCCUUUUCUGCCCUGCGCUUUCUGGUUCAAAGAGCAGCAAAAGCAAAUGGCAGCUAAUCCUUUAUCCUCACAACAACUGCUGGCCUGUUGCCGGGUUAUCAGCUUAGAAUCAUUGUGAUGUCACACUCUUCAGGUGUAGGCAGUCUGAUGUUGGACAUCAAAUAUGACUUUGGUCUGCUCGGGGCCACCUGCCCUUCAUAGUGUAACCGAAUACACUGAGUCAUGCUCUACACUCAUAUCAUGCAGCGGAGACAGUUUCACGAUAAGCAGUCCGCGUCAAGUGUUUCUUUUGGAUCGGGCUGUGUGUUUGUGCUCCCCUGUCUCCCAGGAGUGCUUUAUUUGCACAAGUGAAAAAAGGUUGUCAGUGCGAGUUCGCGGCCAAGUUACUUUCUAGGACUCCAGCCAGCUGAAACGGGAGAUGCUCCUGAAAAAUGCAGGAGCUAUUAAACAAAAAACAGCGCGCUAUCGUCUUUCUUCAAGCUGUGAAUCAACACAUAAAUCCAGUCCCCUCAUGUCUGGUGUCUCUCUUAUGAAUCUGGGAGUGAAAAUUAAGAUAGCUGAUUAUCAUCAACCCACACAGACAGACCACAAUUGGGUCACCAACUGAAACUAAACACUGUAUACAUAUAAACUAUGAGGCAACAACUUCAA